rnacentral:rRNA from 1 species
UCCUCCCUCUUUCUUCGUGCUUAACACAUGCAAGUCGAACGGAAAGUCCCUGCUUUUGUGGGGUGCUCGAGUGGCGAACGGGUGAGUAACACGUGAGUAACCUGCCCUUGACUUUGGGAUAACUUCAGGAAACUGGGGCUAAUACCGGAUAGGAGCUCCUGCUGCAUGGUGGGGGUUGGAAAGUUUCGGCGGUUGGGGAUGGACUCGCGGCUUAUCAGCUUGUUGGUGGGGUAGUGGCUUACCAAGGCUUUGACGGGUAGCCUGCCUGAGAGGGUGACCGGCCACGUUGGGACUGAGCUGCGGCCCAGACUCCUACGGGAGGCAGCAGUGGGGAAUAUUGCAUAAUGGGCGGAAGCCUGAUCCAGCAACGCCGCGUGCGGGAUGUCGGCCUUCGGGUUGGAAACCGCUUUCGCCUGUGACGAAGCGUGAGUGACGGUAAUGGGUAAAGAAGCACCGGCUAACUACGUG